CGCGAGCCGCGGUAAUUCCAGCUCCAAUAGCGUAUAUUAAAGUUGUUGCAGUUAAAAAGCUCGUAGUUGAAUUUCGGAAUCAAUAUGUUGGUCGUGCCUUGGUACGUACUAAUUUAUUGGUUUCUUCCUUCUGACGAACCAUGAUGUCAUUAAUUUGGUGUCUUGGGGAAUCAGGACUGUUACUUUGAAAAAAUUAGAGUGUUUAAAGCAGGCUCACGCUUGAAUACAUUAGCAUGGAAUAAUGAAAUAGGACGUUUGAUUCUAUUUUGUUGGUUUCUAGGAUCGACGUAAUGAUUAAUAGGGAUAGUUGGGGGCAUUAGUAUUCAAUUGUCAGAGGUGAAAUUCUUGGAUUUAUUGAAGACUAACUACUGCGAAAGCAUUUGCCAAGGAUGUCUUCAUUAAUCAAGAACGAAAGUUAGGGGAUCGAAGACGAUCAGAUACCGUCGUAGU
rnacentral:rRNA from 1 species